CAAGUGUGAAAUAUGCUACCUCCAGUAUAUUGAGCUUCUUUCUUAGUAGCAGAAGGCACAGGGCACACUAGCUCAUUCUUUAUUUGGAAGAAGAUUCUCAGCAUCCCCAAGAUCUUGAGCCCUCUAAAAAUAAUAACUGUGGCAGGUUUCUGGCUCUUUGUAGGGUUGACCUCCUGCUUUUGUGAGUACUUGUAUCUCUUGUUACUGAUACAAGAGGUCUUGUAUCUCUUGUUACUGAUACAUCUGAUACCAUAGGGCCGGCUGGAUCACAUGGCCUGAUAGAAAGGCCUGAUUUAUGUGAUGUCAUCAGGCAUGCUGUCAUCAUGACCUUUGUGAUGCUCUGUGGCCAGAUGGCCCAGGUCCCUUUGGAAAUACUAUGACAGAAUCAAGGAGAAUUACCAAAGCCCCAGGGCAGCACUGAGUGAAUACUGCUAUUCAUCCUAUGGCUAUGAAUGUGAACUAUUUUGGAUACUUCUUUCUGCUGGAUAUGGAAAAGACAGCAUUUGCCAGAUCAAUAGCUGCCUGCCACUUACCUUCAACUAUGUUAAGUUGCUCUGGGGAUAGGGGCAGCUUCAGAGGCUUCCACUUGACCUUUUGUAUGACAGAAGCUCUUAAUCUACUGGCCAAGAAACUAUGCCCAGCCAUUGCUCCUGAGCUUCAGAACCACAUAUCCAACUACCUACAAGAUACCUUCAUGAGGAUGUGCCAGGCAGUGGAAACAUUCAGAGCAGAACUUCUCACAUCUCCAUACUUGCUGUCCCAUGUUCCUCUUCCCUGUGACUGGCACCGUAACCCAACAGUUAUGCCUUUAGUGGUAUCCUGUUACCUCUGUUUGGACAAAAUCUACACCUUAGCCUGGCGUAUAAAGCCUUCCAUGGCUCCUCUUCUGUCUCCAGGUAUUUAUCCUCCAGGAAAAUCAAAUAGCUACUCCACUAGCCUGGCUCGGCACCAGGGCUAGGCAGAAAAGUCAUAUGAUUGUAGCACCGUUUUUUAAGUUUCUGUCAUUGAGAUAAAAUAAAAAGGGUCAGAUUGUCA
rnacentral:lncRNA from 13 species